GACGAACGCUGGCGGCGUGCCUAAUACAUGCAAGUAGAACGCAGUUGCGAACGGGUGAGUAACGCGUAGGUAACCUGCCUCAUAGCGGGGGAUAACUAUUGGAAACGCUAGCUAAUACCGCAUACUGUGAGAUGGACCUGCGUUGUAUUAGCUAGUGGGUGAGGUAAAGGUACACCAAGGCGACGACACAUAGCCGACCUGAGAGGGUGGUCGGACACACUGGGACUUGGACACGGCCCAGAACCCGACGGGGGGCAGCAGUAGGGAAUCUUCGGCAAUGGACGGAAGGCUGGACGGGCAACGCCGCGGGAGUGAAGAAGGUUUUCGGAUCGGAAAGCUCUGGUGUUAGGGGAGCGGUAACUAACCAGAAAGGGACGGCUAACUACGUGCCAGCAGCCGCGGUAAUAC
rnacentral:rRNA from 1 species